CUUGGUCAUUUAGAGGAAGUAAAAGUCGUAACAAGGUUUCCGUAGGUGAACCUGCGGAAGGAUCAUUACAGAGUUCAUGCCCUUCGGGGUAGAUCUCCCACCCUUGUGUAUCAUUAUAGAAUGUUGCUUUGGCGGGCCGCGCCUAGUGUGCCUGGAUUCGCGUCCAGCGUGCCCGCCAGAGGACCCCUAAACUCUGAAUGUUAGUGUCGUCUGAGUACUAUUAAAUAGUUAAAACUUUCAACAACGGAUCUCUUGGUUCUGGCAUCGAUGAAGAACGCAGCGAAAUGCGAUAAGUAAUGUGAAUUGCAGAAUUCAGUGAAUCAUCGAAUCUUUGAACGCAUAUUGCGCCCGCUGGUAUUCCGGCGGGCAUGCCUGUUCGAGCGUCAUUAUGACCAAUCAAGCUCUGCUUGGUCUUGGGGCCCGCUGUACCGGCGGCCCUUAAAACCAGUGGCGGUGCCGUCUGGCUUUAAGCGUAGUAAUACUUCUCGCUAUAGGGUCCAGUCGUCCACCGGUCAGAACUCCCCAACUUUCUUAGGUUGACCUCGGAUCAGGUAGGGAUACCCGCUGAACUUAAGCAUAUCAAUAAGCGGAGGA
rnacentral:rRNA from 1 species